rnacentral:lncRNA from 1 species
AGUUCUUCCAUAUCUAGAAAAGAUACGUGAACAAUGUAUUAAAUUUAGUACGCAUUACUUGAAUACUAAAUCAUUUACAUAUGAUUACUCUAUAUUUAAUUUGUAAAAGAAAAGAAAAUGAAAAAUUACUGUAAGAAAACAAAAAGUUGUUUUAAUAUUGAAUCCUUAUGUGUUGCUCUUUUGGUUGUCCAUAUUAGACAUAUACCCAAAUAUACGACACGUUGAAUUCUUAAGAACACAAUUUGCUAUGCAUCUUUAAUCUUGACAGCAUCAGUGGAAACUUUCAAACUAUAAUU